UUGGGUUAGAGAUACCAAGGAACCCGCUAGAUGGAGCUUUUACAUCUAAUUCAGUGGCCAUGUUACUAAGAAACGCAAAGAUUGAUGGCUCGGCCAAUAUGACAAAAAAGAUGAGAGGCCUACCAGGAGAUAGGGAUAGGAACAAUCAACUAGCGGCAGCAGUUGUUCAUUAUCUUGAAGAGGGCAGGCUGUCCAGGUAACAAGCCUGCUAAGUGUUUCUGCUGGCAAUAAGUCAAUCUCGGAUACAAUGUUGAGUAAAAUUUUGAUUUGAAAUGGUUAAUAAUGAAUUUAUUCUAAAUGGGUUGUCACAAUACAUACCAAUCCAACUUGUCAUGGAUUGAAUGCACAAACCAGAAAAAUAAUAUAUUGAAUCCAAGACAGAAAACUUACCUAUAAUGACCAGCUAUUCUAAUGGCAUUAACAAUUUGCCCUAGUAAAGCACAAGUAACAAUUUUCACAUUGCCUUAUUGCCAUUUGUAAAGGCAUUAAUGCCAAUCUGUACAGUGGUUUAGGGAUCAGCACUUGCUAUCCAUAAACAAAAAAUGAGAGCAGAGAUGCCAUUGUUGCUAAUACAUGACAUUUCUAUUCUAAUCCUAUAAGAAUAUAAUGUACAUGUAUGUGCAAACACUAUUCCUUGCUCCCCCUUUAAGAUAAAGAGGACGAAACAAACUAUCUUCUGGUGUAAUGGCAAAGAAACUGUACCAUGCAGAUUAUUUGAGGUUGGCGUAUAUUGCAAUUUCAAAUUCAGUCUGUUUCAUAUCUGUAACUCUGAUAGAACUACUGCAUAACACCUGAAGUUACUCUGUUCAAAUGAUGCAGAUGGAAAGGAGCCUGUCUCCUCUAAACGAAACAUUUGCUGAAGUCAUGGCUGAAUUUUCUGCAUGUCAGAAUAUUUGAAGGUGCAAAUCUAGAAAGAAGGAAAAAAAUAAGAAAAAUAUUACAACAAAUGCUAUAUUGUUGAGCAAAAGUAACUGCAUAUGUUUCAACAACAAUCUAAUUUGUAAGGCACAAGAACCAUUCCAGAAGCCAUUAAAUUUCUUCAAAGUUAACACAAUAAUAUGUCCUUAAUAUACUGUUAAACCAUUCCAGGGACUAGUAGAAAAAUUCUCUACUAACAUCUGCAUCCUAAAUCCUAAUGCAACUUUACAUAUUGUUGCGCUACGCAUGUCACGACAACACACAUGAUCUCACAUUUUUCAAGGAAGGAAGACCUAAGCCUUGAAGACAUAUUACAAUUAAAAUUGUUUUUACGCUUGCUAAUAGUAUAACUUUUUCUAUUCCAGCAUUGAAACUAUUGAUGAUAACAAACAAUACAAUCAGUCAAAAAAAUAUGAUGAUGUAUUUAUGGUAAUCUAGCAGCUUAAACUUUCCUUUGAAAAGAGAGAUCUGACUUCAAUGUGCAAGAAAGAAAUAAUUGAAUAAUUUUCCUUCCCAGUUUUUUAUCAUUUCUUUUUUGCCCCUUCUAAAUUUCGUCUUUGUAAAUUAUAAUUCAACCUCCAUCUUAAAAAUCUUAAUUCGUAAAUGGGAAGUUUGGCCUUUGAAAUGUUUCCAACACCAGAACCCUAACUUCAUGGAGGUUUCUGUAGUUAAGUACAUGGAAAAACUAAAUGAAUACCUUAAUACAACUUAAUAGAACUGAGAAAAUUGUUGCUAUAAACUGAGCAAACAAUAAUAAGCAUAAGGAGAAUGUAGAAAGCAAAAGUUUAUUGAAACACUAAAGGCUACAAUCAUAAUGCUCCUUACCAGAGAUCAACAUUGACAAACAGCAACUGUCAAUUGCAUGUCUCUGCUCAUUGAAUGUAGAUCUAUCCUGUUGCAGACAACUUAGAUUUCACAUUUCGAGGAGCACUAGUUUUGCGAAGUUGAGGAUUUUCUAUAGAGUACACAAGAAGGAUUCCAUCUUUGGUCCCAGCUAAAAAGCAUUCUUCUGGGGUUACUGUUAGACAUGUUAUUACCUUUCCAACUCCAUUAUACUUUUUGACAAUAUCAAGCGUAUUCAUAGAGCGUACAGUUAUCUGUCCCUGAUCACCAGCACAAACCAGAAACUCACCACAACCACUGAGUUCAACACAGUUCAGGCGACCAUUAGAUUCAGAAGUAGCAAGAUGUUUUCCAUUAAUAGAAUAUAAAUGCAGACUAAGAUCAUCAUCAGCAUAAAAUACUAUCCGUCCGUGCCGAGAGGCCACAAGCUUUGACAAUGCACUGCCAGAAGGAUGACGUAAAGAUCUUAUGUAUCUUCCUUCCCUAAGGGUAUGGAAAACACAAGUUCCAUCUUUUGAACCACUGAUAACUAUAUCAAGCUCCGCACUAACAUAUAAGCAUGUUAUUAUAUCAUCAUGCCCGCUGAGAAUAUGGAAAGGAGUUUCAGCAAUGACAUACUCUUUACGAGGUAGUUCAGUCUGAGUGUUUCGAACUCUCUUUUCAGUGCCUCGGACACGGAGAACUUCCCACACCAUGACUGUAGUAUCAUAACUUCCAGUUGCAAGUAUGCUACCAUCAGCUGUCACUGCCACACAGCUGACCACAUCUUUAUGCUGUCGAAUACUCUGCACCAUUCUUCCAUCAUUUAAGGAAAUGACUUGGAAACUGUUUUCCCAAUUACCACAUGAGAUCAAAAAGUUCUCAGUCGGUGUUUGCAUUGUUGCAAAGCAUUGUGCUCCAAGUUCAAUAUUUUCAGCCAAAGGACUGCCUAUUCUUCUAGCAGAAAGAACAUCAGAACCAACUCCGAAGAAUGGUUCCUGCAAACUAGAGAAGGUAAAAUUGCCACCAGACUGCAAUUGAGUUGUCAGCCACAACUUAACUGACAAGGUAAGCCCUUGGUUUACGAGGACAAUAUGUGAGUCCAAUAUGCCAAUAUAUAAUACAGCUGAUGGAGGAUAACUUGUACCAGACACAAUGGAUGUCAAAUUAAUAGAAUCAGGUGCAAAAUGCAAAGGAUGAGCAAUUGGAAUUGGUGGCCCUCUUCUUGGAUGUUUUUUACGGAAUAUCUGAAUUGGUGUCUGGCCAAAAUUCGCAAUUUGGUCUUCAAUUGCUGAUCUCUGCAACUCAUCUUCCAUGGUGUCUAGAUCAACAGCACCUUCAUAAGUUAAAUAAUAGAAGAUGUUUGCUGCCUCAACUGCUGGUUUUCCCCGCUGCUUGUAACCAAAUACCAAAUCAAUCCAGUGGUGGAGAUUUGAACUAACAUAUUCACUUUCUAGGGCCUCUCGAUUUUUGCUUAUAAAUAAUUCAGGUGAUCCCUUGGCCCAAGGAGGGAGACAAACAUCACCUAUUGGCUCCCCAUCUUGCUUAACUCCAAGAUGAUAAGAAUUUGAGUUAACAAGAAAUUCUGGCAUGUAGAAGAACUCAGGAAUUAACUCCUUCACAUCACUUGUAUUAGAAAGACAAUUUCGAUAUGUUCCUUCAAUGCCUUGGAAAAGACGAUCAGCAUGAUCAAAUUUUCCACCCUGCAAAUUACGGUGAAGUGAUGUGAAUGGCUCUAAUCUAAGAAGAUAAUAAAGCACAAUCCCCAUGCUUGAGUAAUGUGAUCCAUAGUAGAAACUGGGUAUAUCAGGAUCAGAGAAGUUACGGUAUCUAUCUUCGAAUACCUCAAACCGUUUCAAAUCCAAUGCUCCAACAGGUUUAGUGAGAUCUCGAAAGGUUGAUGAUUUGUUAAAGUCAAGAACAUCAGAGGAAUAAUCAGCCAAAACCCAAGGAAAGAUGGGAUACUGUGUUAAAUCAUUGUAAGAUCUUCCUGCAAGCGUGUUGAGAAUCAUUAGGUAUUCAAAGUUUGUUAUAUCUCUUCUCCUCCAUCUUUCUCUGGCAACUUCUGCCAUCUCCAGGGCUACACGUCUAUCGACAAACAUUAUAGUUCCACUCUUGUCCUUACUACCUUUUGGAAACAGGAAUUCAUUUCUAGUAGCAACUAUUACAGUACCAACUUCUUUUGCAUCUUUCAGUGAUUCAAAAUUUAAAAAGACUGGUGCAACUGAGUCGCCAAAGAAAAUCUCUAUGGCAGUGUAUCUAAGCAGAUACCGUGUCCAAUAGACAGUUUUUAUCUUGCCAAUGUUCCAUCUUCUAUGGCGCUUAACAUGUUUUAACUGUCUUUGAUGCAUAUUUUCAUUUACUGUCUCUACAUUAUCAACAGAAACCCCUUUCAGAGGACAAAAAUCAGCAUCCAUGGGCCAUUUAAGAGACUUCGAUUUUUGUUCAAGUUUGGAUUUGACCCCAUCAGAAUUGCUUGAAGCAUCAAACUUCUUGAAAACAGAUGAUCCUCCAGUACCUUCAACCAAAAAUUCUCCAAAAAAGUGCAAGAAAUUUUUCAUGAUUGCCAACUUUCCUGCUAAUUUUCUCUUUGGCGUUACAAGUACACAUGGAACAGACAAAAGAACCUCACUAGUUUCUGUCUCUUGUGAAGAGGAAGAAGCGUCCCUUUUGUCUUGUAUAACAUCCUUCUGAUCACUGCUGCCUUUAGCUAGCUCUAAGCAUUGAGACUCUGAAAGAUCCUCAGAGAUGAAUGCCUUUUGGGUACUUGGUUCAACAUCAUUUUCACCUGCUUCUGAGCUCCCCUCAUCAGUUAUCCUGCGCACACCUUUCAGCAGAAAUCGUUUCAUUUGCUCAGGAAUAUGGCCCACAAAACCAUCUUUGUUUUCAUUAACAGGGAGAGUAUCCUCAUUGCUAGAGGCAGUGGAAGGAGGAUGACACAGCUUAUCAUCAAAAUGAUAAUUCCGUCUUAACUUGGGUCUGCGACGCCAGGCAUCUUCUGUCUUGUCAAGUUUCCAAUGCAUUACCACACUAUUUGGAAAAGGAUUAGCCGACCAGGGACCCCUCUCAUCAAUCAAAGUGCGGAACAUGUGUAUCCAUUUUUCAGCAACAUUUUGCCGAUCCUCCUCAUGCGAAAACUGGAAUACAGCUCUUCUGUCGUCAUCUGCAGCAAGGAUUGUGUUCAAGCUACCAUGUAUCUCAUCUUCAAAUGCUUUCUUAUUAGCAGUUUCUACGGAUGUACUCUCAUCCAUCCUAGCACGGAGCUCAAUCAACUGCCUGGAGCGGUCAGAUAUUGAUGUCUUCAAAUAUUUUAACUCAUCAGAGACCGCUGCAAGGACCCGAUCCUUUUGAAUCAGAUUCUGAAUGGAGCCUGUAUCUUUUGAGUUACUCCCCAAAUCAGAAGAGUCAUCUCUACCCACAAUAGCAGUAGCCAGCAUUGCUUUCCCGCAGUUGACUGUUUCUCGGAUCAAGUGUGAUAUAACAUGAGUGCGAGCACCAUCAUCUAACAUCCCAUAUUGGGACCUUAGAGCAAGCAAAACCCAGAGGAAAAGCUGCAAUCUACUCUUGCUUUGCUCAUCAUCGACAGCCAGAAGAGAAGGCAAAAGUAAAAUGACCUGUUGCACACACCGUGAUGCUCUUUCUAAAGAAGAUUUGCAGAUAUAUACAAAUACAAGUCGGAAAACAAUUCUUGGACAUCUCUCCCCUCUUAAAAGCAUGGCUUUAUCAACAGUUUUAUUUGGUUUUCCACCUAAGGCAUUGCCUAUCCCUCCUGAAACAACAACUGCAGCCAUUUCUGCAGCUGGAAUGUUCAAAGAUUCAACUAGGCCACGUGCUCUUUGACCAAAGGAGGGUCCCAGUGCUGGUGAUGAUUUGGGUAGUAUCUUGCUUGGUCCCUUACCAUUCAUCUCACCAAUGAUAACCCACAAAUUGUCAUAUAAAUUCCACCACUUAUCAUCAAUUAGGUCAUCUUCAUGCAUGAUUGGAUGCUUGCAACCCCAUGGAUUUCUAGAUGUUUGGUUAUCAAAUUCUCCUUGCAAGAUUUCAUGUAGUGCAGCAUAGUCCUGAUUUUCUGAUUCUAAAGAAUCGCCCCUAAGUUCAGAGAUAUUUGCUGGAAACAGACUCUUAUGGUCAACUUCAGAGACAAGCAUCUCAUCAACCAGCCGUAGAAGAUAUAAUGUAUUAUCCCGACAUGGUUGCAUAGCAAAAAUAUUUUCCUCAUAAGAAAAAUCAACCAGCCUUUGAAUCAACUCCUCAAAUAUAUCACGAAGAAAGUAUCGAUAUGAGAUGCCAGCAUGCUCACAGUGCAUAAGUAGGAAAUUCACUGUUUCUUCCAACUGUUGCCAGCCACCUUUUACAGAAUGCAGAUAAUGACAAAGAACAACACAAUAUAAACUCCUCACCAAGUUUUGCUCAAGUAGCUCAGUUUCACAGUGGUGGUGAGACUCUAAUUUGUAUGCCUUCAACACAUCAAGCUUUAAAGAAGCUGUUAACCAGGCAUGCCAUCCAUGUUCCAUUAGAGCUUCAAUAUUUGAAGAAUUUGAAUCAAGAAGAUCAAGCAAAUCUCUAAUUAUUUUUGCUCUUGCUGAUACAUCCUCACAGCUAGACAAGAAUCCGAAAAUGAGGACCAAGAUCUGUGGAAGGAAAAAAUGAGAGCUAUUUCCUUUGCUUCUAGGUUUUUCAACCAGGCUAUGUUUCUGUAACACCUGUUUGGGACUGGCACCACCAAGAAGAACAUCAAACAAGCUGGCGCACAAAAAAUCUGUCAGAGGAUAUCUGAAUAACCUGUCAGCCAUAGCGGAAAAGACUGGCUGCAUCCUUGAGCUGUUUCUCUUCUGACUUUCUGAAAGAGAUCUUGAUCUUCCAACAGAAAGACUGAAAAAUCUAGGUCCCUUCUUCUCAGAUGGCAAACCAACCAAAAGCCUUCCUAGGAAUUGCAAGCCGAGUAAUCUAAUGGGCUCAUGUUCCCUCUGAAGAAGAUUGACAAAAAUGUGACAACCACCGAUCAUAUUGACGUGUUCAAGGAAAGCAAUAAGCACUGGUUUUUGAGAAAGAGCACGGAUGACCAUAUGUAGGACAUCCUCAAUGCAUGUCAUAUCUUGGCUUGUCUCAAAAAAUGCUAUCAAAGCUUUCAUAUCUGCUGCUGCAAUGCUCUGCCUGAGGCUCAUUUCACCAAGACUCAAUAGAAGAAGACGAAUUUUGUGUAUUUCUUCUUUAUUAGGUCUCUCUCCAAUAACUUGUUUGGUAAUGGGAUGAAGAAGAGGCUUGCUUCCAAUAGCAAAUCGAGAUUUUGUAUUAUCCCAAUAAAAUUGGCGAAUUACAUCAAUAACACGAGGAAGGCGACACAAACUUGAGAGCAACCUUGGAUCAUCAUCAAAUUGUUGUACAAGAAACAUGUACAGUUCACGCUGCACCUUGUAUGCCGUGUAGACCCAUAUGAAAGGAUUAAGAAAAAUGCUAGAUAUAGCAUCUUUCACAAGAAGCUCUGCCAAACCACCAUUUGAAGCAACAUUAAACAGAUGUUUCAAAGCUGAAAGAGUUUCCAAAUUAAGUUGUUCGGGUGGAACUGAUUGCAAUAAAAAUCCCAGUAUAGAAAAUCCAGAAAGAAGAUGCAUCUGUUGUUGAUUUGCUAAAUUCUCAUCUAAAACAGAAGCUAUAAGCUCAAUGACCUCAGCUGUCAGACGUUCUUUUGUGAUGGGCGUGAGUAAUGUAUAUUCAAAGGAUCCACUUUCUUCGUUUUCAUAUCUAUCAGAUUGCGCAAUGAGAGGGAAAAAGACGGACACACCCCCAACACAGUAAAUUAUCUGCUGCAGCAAGCGUCGUGAACAUAAUUCUGUACCAACCAUUACAAUUGCCUCAAAUGACUUCUUAUCUAAUGCAUGAUCUGACACUGGUGAAACAUUGAACAAUUUCUUUCGAUCACUUGCCUGCGCAUUUAACCCAAAGAUAAUUUUUGAUGCCAGACCAUCUUUAGCAUCAAGAAUUCCACUGGGCAGUGGGUUAUCAUAAAAUGGUGCAGAUUGAUUAUCAAGAAAUGAGUACAUGUAGCUUGGCCCCAAAGAAUGAAUACCCUGGACAUGCUCAGAUGAAAUAGCAUCACAAAAUAAAUAAACAGGACCAAUCUGACCAUGGAAAGAGAAAAUUUCUUGCACCGAGUCCGGAAAAACAUCUUCUUCACUCUGAGGCCAAUAAAUUUUCGUGCCAAUUCUACAUUUCGUCAGUAGUUCAGUAACUUUUGCAUAUCUGCAUCUUUCUGAUGAUACAAGAUCACCAUCUACAUAACAUCUCAGCACGCUACCCCCAGAAAAUGCCCUUCCAAUGCUAUGAGUUAGACAAAGAAAAUGCCACUUCUUUCUGACCAAGUUAAUAUUAAGUUGAACAAACUGCCGCUUCAGAUUGUUUGACUCAAAAAUAAGCCUAUCCUUUCCAAGUACUGCCGAGCAUCCUUUUCCAUUUUCAGUUAGGAAACUGAAAAGACCCAUUGCCCCAUUUCUUGGGAAGCUUUCCACCCUAAGCCAACAUGAAAAAGAAAAACCCUUAUUGAGAGGCCAUUGCAAAGGCGUUUUAAUUGUGAUCCCAGAAUCAUUCCCAUUGAGGUCAAAGAAGGCAGUAGGUCCCUUCUCAUUUAACAUUGACAACACAGUGUUCAACAAUAGUGAGCAGUACUGCUGCCGACUUCCCACUUUCUCACUUCGGAGGAGAGCAAAGAUCUUACGAAUAUCCUUCCCAGAUAUGCUAUGCCCACCAAUGACCUGAAUCAAUUGUGCAAUUUUCAAAAUGACACUAUCACUAUCUUCUUCAGCAAACCAAUCAAGAAGAAAAUUAAGCAUUCCUGCUCUGAAGCAUGAAGCUCGAUUGGAAAUGGAAUCCCUGAGCAGCUGGAGAAACAAAUUGAGCCCAUUGUUCUGCAAGGAGUCACUGCUCUUCUGCAAAACACUCAGAUAAAGUAUGAUCACAUCUUCAUUCUUUAUGAGAGGGUUAGCUUUUAUAUCAAACUUUCCAUCAACAAGCAUAUCCAGAAGUGCAGUUAAAAGUGCUUCGCUUGGACUCCAUUGACAAAAGUCCAACAGCAAACUUUGCAUCGUCUGAUAGCCCUUGCCAACUAGAGCUCUAAAUGAAGCCUUUGAGCUGUCAUUACUUGCAAGGAGACAGGUAAGAGUCUGAAGGACAUUUAAAACUAACUUCUCCCCAUUUUCCUCAUCAAGAAUGCCAUUUAGUAAAGAAACAACAUGCAAAAAGCAUUCACCAUCACGGAACAAGGCCUGAUAGUACUCAGAAUCAGCCAUGAGCAUCUCCCUCAUUCCAACCAAUAGAUCAAUAGACAGUUUUGCAAAAUUUUUUUCCCUUUCCCUUAUUUGAGUAAAUGUUUCUAAAUAUUUUGAACAUAAUUGCAACUUGGCCUUUUGAUCAUCCGCAGACAAUGGUACUAUCUUCAUGAGGUCAAGAAUGUGCCCAAGUACAAUAUUUCUCAUGCCCUCUUCCCAAAAUAAUUCAAAUAAACAAUCAAUACAAGUCAAAUCACGCAAAACAAAACUUUUUGCAUCUUCUGCUAUUGAGAAGAAUUCUGUGAAAAGACUCAUGCAUAUUUCCAUGCAUUCAAGCCGGAUGUGAGCUGCCUCUGCUGAUUCAGAUGCCAGGUCAAUAUAUGGUUGAGGCACUUUCCCUAGAGAAGGGCCUAAAUCUCCAGACCUUCUUGACUCUUUUGCUUGGAUGGAAGCAACUUUGAGCACACGAGGAACUGCACUGAGUGCCUUAAAGGAGGCAACUGUCUUCUCAGAUGAAAGCUGCAAUAUACGAAGUAGACUCUUUGCAACAACACUGGCAAUCUCCGGAUGACAGACACAUUGUUCAAGGGCAUCCAAUAACCCAGACAACUCAGGCAAAUUAUGCACAAUUCCAUUACAAGUUGCUGCAAAUUCUACAAAUGAAAUUAUUUCCAUCUGAAGGAUUUCAAUGCUACUGGCCUUUGUUUGGCCAUCAGUGCUACUAGAAGGGGGAUUUGUUUCAAGCUUCCCCAUAAAUCCUCCACCGUAAUUGCAAUGCUCUCCAGAAAUUUCUUCUGAAGCUGGUCCAAAAUAGAAAAAAUUCUCAGAGAAGAUAAGGUCCCAUAUCCCCUCUUCUCUAAAUACUUCAAGUGAUGCAGGUGAUGAAGCAAGAACCUUCCCAAAGGUAUCAAGAACAGAAUGCUGAAGAGCAUUGACAAAGACCCUCAAAUGGCUUGGCAAUUCAUUUUGAUUUGAACAAGCCUUGAUGCAAGGGAAGACUGUAAGAAGAACCCUCAUGGCCCACUUGAUCGAAAGUUCACUAUACAAUGAAGAAAUUGGCAUGGUAAUUCGACCAGUGCUUGCUGGGAUUUGAUGAGAUUUAGUACUUUCUGGCGUAGCUAUGAAAGAACAAAGUACCCUGCUCAACUUGUCAACAUAUUCAUUCCAAAACUGAGAAUAUGAAUCACCUGCUGGAAAGGGAAAAGAAAGCUCCCUCUUUACAUGAUUCCCACUCGAAUCAAGAACAGGCAUUUGAAAAUCAUCCUGAAUAGACAAAUCCUUGAUCUUCUGCUUGUACUCUUGAAGCAUGAAGGCAAGUGAACAAAAGCUAUUUGCAAAUUUAUGAAUUCUUCCAUUUUCACAAAGAAAUUGCAAGUUGUUCAAAUUACCAAAGACAGCCUCUCUCAGAACUAUCAAGGAAAGAAUGUGAAGCUGGAAAAUUUUCAGUAAAAGAUUAUCAUCUCUCUUCUCAUCAACAUGAAAGGCAUUCUUCAGCAAAAGCACAUUAAUUGAUGGAACUCCUAGUCCAUCCAACAGAACUUCAAGCCCUCCAAUACUUUUAAAAUGAUUUUGACCUCGAGGAUUUUCAGAUAAUGCUAAAUGAAGGGUGCUCAGAGUCGAGUACUGAAGUGAUACAUCCAUCCACUGUUCUUUCAAACUAAACCUUCUGAUGACACGCAACAGCUCUACUAACCAAUUGAGGCCACCUGCUUCCAUAACUGAUACGACUGCCUUUUGAUGCCAAUAUAACCUUGUUUCAGGGGGAAUCUUUAAACAACUAGAAGAGUCAAUUGAGGAUGCAGUCCACCCGACAGAAAAUUCUACAGAACUUCUAUACAACUGAGCUUUGGCACAUUCAUUUGUAUUCAGAUCAAUAAAGCUACAUAUUAUUGACACCACAUAUGCAAGAAUUUGUUGCAAAAGUUGUGUCUUUUCUACAAUAACAUUAGAUAAACUUUCAUCACCAGAUAGAGUACCAGUUAACGACUUGAGUUGGACAACAGACGCUUUCAUUAAUGCAGUUAACUUUUGAAUCCCACCAUAGUAGCCAAAAACUUUGCAAUUAUGAAUUGAACGUGUAAUUAUUGUUAAAGCAUCCAAUGCAUGAAACCCUUCAGAUGGGAGAGCCAAGCCUGUGGAAGUCUCUGAUAAGUCUGUUUUGGAGGGCAACACUGUGAUAUUUAAAUCAGUAACCAGAGUGGUUAAAUUUAUGAUCUCUUCAGUCAAUAACAGAAUUACUUCAGCAGGGUGUCCAGCAGAGCAGCCAACAACCACAUCAUCAUCUCGUAAUGGAUAGUCCGAGCAAGAGGCAGUCCUUGAAGCAGUCUCUGGCAACUGGACCGCAUUAACAGGUUCCCAGUUCUUGUACACCAUCAGAAAUUGCUUAAGGAGAACAUGAAACAGCCUUUGCUUUUCAACCUUAUCCACAGCAUUCUCAUAUUUCUCCCAAAGUGCAUGUAAAAUUGCUUCAUCACCAACUUCACUGAAGCGGAUUUUUGGAGCAGGUGGAGGAAACCUCUCAGCCGAUGAUCCCGAAGAAGACUCUCCAGUUUGGAGACUGGAUGUCCUUCGAAUGAGAUCAGCUACACCCUUGACGAUGUUCAUGUCCCCCACUAAUAACUAGCAAGAUAAUUAGAACUUCAUCAUCUGACAAAUGAGACAAAACAGUCCACUCCAGGCCAUUACUUCUGGCGACCUAAAUAUCUGAUCAGAUCGCAAAUGCUAUGUUUGGCUUUUAGGGUUUGGAUUGCGAGAUCUGAGCUCGGUAUUUCUUCAAAACUUUUUGGUUCAAUGGCGUCACUCAACCUCAGGAAUCGAAGAAAAAAAAAUAAUGCGCUUACAGAAGAGAAGAGAGAGAGAAA
rnacentral:misc_RNA from 1 species